rnacentral:pre_miRNA from 1 species
UCUUACUGAUGAGUAAUAAAAGUGGUUUCUUGAAACAGAAUCUAUUCCUGGUGAAGAUGCUGUGAA